rnacentral:misc_RNA from 1 species
GAGAACCAAGAGAUCCGUUGUUGAAAGUUUUGAUAUUUAUAUUGGUUGACUAAGUAAAUUAUUAGUGUUCUUGCAAGCAAGUUCUCUAAAAAAACAUGUGUAAAUGCAAUUAAGCAAACUUUAAUGAUCCUU